rnacentral:ncRNA from 1 species
GCGGACCUACGGGGCCGUAUAACCACAACGAUCAGCUGAUCGUUUUUAAAACGGAAGACAGAAA